rnacentral:rRNA from 1 species
GGCGGACGGGUGAGUAACGCGUAGGGAUCUAUCCAUGGGUGGGGGACAACUCCGGGAAACUGGAGCUAAUACCGCAUGAUACCUGAGGGUCAAAGGCGCAAGUCGCCUGUGGAGGAACCUGCGUUCGAUUAGCUAGUUGGUGGGGUAAAGGCCUACCAAGGCGAUGAUCGAUAGCUGGUUUGAGAGGAUGAUCAGCCACACUGGGACUGAGACACGGCCCAGACUCCUACGGGAGGCAGCAGUGGGGAAUAUUGGACAAUGGGCGAAAGCCUGAUCCAGCAAUGCCGCGUGUGUGAAGAAGGUCUUCGGAUUGUAAAGCACUUUCGACGGGGACGAUGAUGACGGUACCCGUAGAAGAAGCCCCGGCUAACUUCGUGCCAGCAGCCGCGGUAAUACGAAGGGGGCUAGCGUUGCUCGGAAUGACUGGGCGUAAAGGGCGCGUAGGCGGUUGAUGCAGUCAGAUGUGAAAUCCCCGGGCUUAACCUGGGAACUGCAUUUGAGACGCAUUGACUAGAGUUCGAGAGAGGGUUGUGGAAUUC